rnacentral:miRNA from 1 species
GACUAUGAGAGAGAGAGAGAGAGAGAGAGAGAGAGAGAAUAUUGUGUUUUUUAAGGUAUCUCUCUCUCUCUCUCUCUCUCUCUCUCUCUCACACACACACA